rnacentral:lncRNA from 1 species
UGUUUUAUUCUUAGUGUCUAACCAUACUUUUUUUAUGUACUCUAGAUGGAACCCAGGACCAAGGAGGAACGCCGCCGCCACUACAAGAUCGUCGCUUCAAGAUAGGACCCUGGCCCACGGGUCGAAGACUGAAGAGGAUCACCGCCGCCACCACCGCCGCCGCCGCCACCACCACCGGAGCCGCUUCAAGAUCGCCGCACGCUAGGACCUUCGCCAAUGGAUCUCAGGUAUAUUUUUUAAUUCUAAGUGUCUAACCAUACUUUUUUUAUGUACUCUAGAUGGGACCCAGGACCAAGGAGGAUCGCCGCCGCCACUACAAGAUCGUCGCUUCAAGAUAGGACCCUGGCCCACGGGUCGAAGACUGAAGAGGAUCGCCGCCACAGCCGCCGCCGCCACCACCGGAGCCGCUUCAAGAUCGCCGCACGCUAGGACCUUCGCCAAUGGAUCUCAGGUAUAUUUUUUAAUUCUAAGUGUCUAACCAUACUUUUUUUAUGUACUCUAGAUGGGACCCAGGACCAAGGAGGAUCGCCGCCGCCACUACAAGAUCGUCGCUUCAAGAUAGGACCCUGGCCCACGGGUCGAAGACUGAAGAGGAUCACCGCCGCCACCACCGCCGCCGCCGCCACCACCACCGGAGCCGCUUCAAGAUCGCCGCACGCUAGGACCUUCGCCAAUGGAUCUCAGGUAUACUGUUUUAUUCUAAGUGUCUAACCAUACUUUUUUUAUGUACUCUAGAUGGGACCCAGGACCAAGGAGGACCGCCGCCGCCACUACAAGAUCGUCGCUUCAAGAUAGGACCCUGGCCCACGGGUCGAAGACUGGAGAGGAUCGCCGCCGCCACCACCGCCACCGCCGCCGCCGCCACCACCACCGGAGCCGCUUCAAGAUCGCCGCACGCUAGGACCUUCGCCAAUGGAUCUCAGGUAUAUUUUUUAAUUCUAAGUGUCUAACCAUACUUUUUUUAUGUACUCUAGAUGGGACCCAGGAACAAGGAGGAUCGCCGCCGCCACUACAAGAUCGUCGCUUCAAGAUAGGACCCUGGCCCACGGGUCGAAGACUGGAGAGAAUCGCCGCCACAGCCGCCGCCGCCACCACCGGAGCCGCUUCAAGAUCGCCGCACGCUAGGACCUUCGCCAAUGGAUCUCAGGUAUAUUUUUUAAUUCUAAGUGUAUAAUCAUCCCUUUUUUUUAUGUACUCUAGAUGGGACCCAGGACCAAGGAGGAUCGCCCCCGCCACUACAAGAUCGUCCCGCCGCAGCAAAGGACUUCGAAGAUCUUUAAAUGUAUUUUUUUUUUUCGCAACGUCAUACAAAUUGAUCGCAUCAUUCGCAUGUUCGGCUGUUCGCAUCAUUCGUCAUUUCGUCUGCUGUGGCGUGGUUUGGUCUGAUCUGGGAGCUGCGGUAAAAAGCACAUUUUGGUCAAAAUAAAAAAUAUUUACGUUUCCAUUGCUUAUUGGCGAAAGUAGCACGAUGAACCUAACCAAACCAAACCUAACCAAACCAAACCAAAACUCAAAAGCCUAAAACUUAUGUUGGAAGCUCACAUAUCGUGGAAUACAAAUGUGUGGAGACAAGGUAUUUCUCCAUUACUGCUACCACACCAACCACGUCAAAUGCCUUACUAAAUUCAGCAACAUUCACCACAUGAUAAAGCAUCAGGAAAUUUACCUCAACCUAAGGAGUAAGGCUGU